rfam:Caenorhabditis japonica strain DF5081 Contig18190.10, whole genome shotgun sequence.
GCCCUUAUAGCUCAGUGGCAGAGCGUUGGUCUUGUAAACCAAAGGUCCGUAGUUCAAUCCUGCGUGGGGGCA